CAUGCUUCAUCCUCCUCUAUUGAUAAAGUCAGUUGCUGCCACUACGUAAUUUCAGCCAUAAACUCACCAAAAUUAUUACGAAAACAAGCACCCAUCACGGUCCUACCUGCAUCGACAAAAAAUGAUGCAUCUACAUUGCACUUUAACCAUCCUAUAGAGGGGGUGUGCAUAUCAUUUAAAGAAACCUUAAGGGAGGUUAUUGUGG
rnacentral:lncRNA from 1 species